CGGCGGCAACUACUCUCUCACGCCGCGCUCUAGCUGCAUCCUCUCUCAGCGACGUCGUCAACCCCCUUGAUCCCUUGUCACCAUUCGCGCCUCGGAGAUGAUGAUGAUAUGUUCCACAUCAACCAGUUAAAGGCUACCCCUCUCCUCUUUCUCCGAUUUAGAAAUCUGAAUCCUUCUCUCAAAUUCAACGUUCCCCUAUUCUUUGCUCCAGGAUCUCUUUGUGGGAAGUCUCCCCUCCUUCCCACUUAGUCAAAUAUGGGACUGGUUACAGAGUCCGAAUCCAAGUCCAGUGUCUGCAAAGAUCCAGCGACCACGAGGGCACGCAGUUACUCAUCUGUGGCACAUCUUCUUGUUUUGGAUUCGGUCAAAAAAGGGUAGCCUAUUUUCAUCCCUAGCAAUUUCAUGUGCAUUUGUUGUAAAAAGUCUGUUGUAAAGUGGAACACUUGAUUCUUGGGAUAUUUCUUCUAUGAGGAUUUAAAGUACCAGCUGUAUACCACAUUUCCCUUCUGCUGUUAGUUCUGUCAUUUUUAAAGAUGUCCAAUCAGCAGGUGCAAUAGAAUUUACUUGCAAU
rnacentral:lncRNA from 1 species